rnacentral:rRNA from 1 species
AGUGAACGCUGGCGGUAGGCCUAUCACAUGCAAGUCGAACGGCAGCACAGUAAUAGCUUGCUCUUACGGGUGGCGAGUGGCGGACGGGUGAGGAAUACAUCGGAAUCUACUUUUUCGUGGGGGAUAACGUAGGGAAACUUACGCUAAUACCGCAUACGACCUACGGGUGAAAGCAGGGGAUCUUCGGACCUUGCGCGAUUGAAUGAGCCGACGUCGGAUUAGCUAGUUGGCGGGGUAAAGGCCCACCAAGGCGACGAUCCGUAGCUGGUCUGAGAGGAUGAUCAGCCACACUGGAACUAAGACACGGUCCAGACUCGUACGAGAGGCAGCAGUGGGGAAUAUUGGACAAUGUGCGCAAGCCUGAUCCAGCCAUACCGCGUGGGUGAAGAAGGCCUUCGGGUUGUAGAGACCUUUUGUUGGGAAAGAAAAGCAGCAGGUUAAUACCCCGCUGUUCUGACGGUACCCAAAGAAUAAGCACCGGCUAACUUCGUG